GCUGGGCGUGGUAGCUCACGCCUGUAAUCCGAGCCCUUGGGAGGCUGAGGCAGGUGGAUCACUUGAGGUCAGGAGUUUGAGCCGCCUGGCCAACACAGUGAAACCCUGUCUCUA
rnacentral:SRP_RNA from 1 species